CCCUUAGAUGUCCUGGGCUGCACGCGCGCUACACUGACGCACGCAACAGGUGCCUGCUCCGAGAGGACUGGGUAAUCAUUUGAGUGUGCGUCGUGAUGGGGAUAGAAUAUUGUAAUUAUUACUCUUCAACGAGGAAUUCCUAGUAAGCGCAAGUCAGCAGCUUGCGCUGAUUACGUCCCUGCCCUUUGUACACACCGCCCGUCGCUCCUACCGAUGGGUGAUCCGGUGAAUGAUUCGGACUUCAGCGGCUCCUCUGGGGUGCGCCGGAGAAAGUUUUGUGAACCUUAUCACUUGGAGGAAGGAGAAGUCGUAACA
rnacentral:rRNA from 1 species